ACGGAGGGUGCGAGCGUUGUCCGGAAUCAUUGGGCGUAAAGGGCGCGUAGGUGGCCCCUCAAGCGGGCGGUGAAAGUCCGGGGCUCAACCCCGGAUCUGCCGUGCCGACUGUCAAACUCGAGGGCUGUAGAGGCAGACGGAAUUCCGGGUGUAGCGGUGGAAUGCGUAGAGAUCCGGAGGAAGACCGGUGGCGAAGGCGGUCUGCUGGGCAGUUUCUGACACUGAUGCGCGACAGCGUGGGGAGCAAACAGGA
rnacentral:rRNA from 1 species